rnacentral:rRNA from 1 species
GAUGAACGCUGGCGGCGUGCCUAAUACAUGCAAGUCGAGCGAACGGACGAGAAGCUUGCUCUUCUGAUGUUAGCGGCGGACGGGUGAGUAACACGUGGAUAACCUACCUAUAAGACUGGGAUAACUUCGGGAAACCGGAGCUAAUACCGGAUAAUAUUUUGAACCGCAUGGUUCAAUAGUGAAAGACGGUUUUGCUGUCACUUAUAGAUGGAUCCGCGCUGCAUUAGCUAGUUGGUAAGGUAACGGCUUACCAAGGCAACGAUGCGUAGCCGACCUGAGAGGAUGAUCGGCCACACUGGAACUGAGACACGGUCCAGACUCCUAAGGGAGGCAGCAGUAGGGAAUCUUCGGCAAUGGGCGAAAGCCUGAUACAGCAACGCCGCGUGAGUGAAGAAGGUCUUCGGGUUGUAAAGCUCUUUUAUUGGGGAAGAACAGAUGUGGAAGAAUAUCUGGCUGUUUUGACGGUACCUAAAGAAAAAGCAACGGCUAACUACGUG